UGACAAAUUAUGCUGGCGUCACAAGGAGUAUUCACAAGGGCAUAGCCGAAGAACAGACACCAAGACAAUAAUAACUCUUGAACAUACUAACAGGGAGAACCCAACCUUCACACUAUGAUUCAUCAUCAGUAUUUUAACUAAAGACAGAAACAGACUCAAGUGCAAAGAAGUGCGUCAAAAUGAUUAUUAGCUUCUUGGAAGCGUAGGAUUGCGACUGUCUGAAAGAUG